rnacentral:rRNA from 1 species
GAUGAACGCUGGCGGCGUGCCUAAUACAUGCAAGUCGAGCGAACAGACGAGGAGCUUGCUCCUCUGACGUUAGCGGCGGACGGGUGAGUAACACGUGGAUAACCUACCUAUAAGACUGGGAUAACUUCGGGAAACCGGAGCUAAUACCGGAUAAUAUAUUGAAUCGCAUGGUUCAAUAGUGAAAGACGGUUUUGCUGUCACUUAUAGAUGGAUCCGCGCCGCAUUAGCUAGUUGGUAAGGUAACGGCUUACCAAGGCAACGAUGCGUAGCCGACCUGAGAGGGUGAUCGGCCACACUGGAACUGAGACACGGUCCAGACUCCUACGGGAGGCAGCAGUAGGGAAUCUUCCGCAAUGGGCGAAAGCCUGACGGAGCAACGCCGCGUGAGUGAUGAAGGUCUUCGGAUCGUAAAGCUCUGUUAUUAGGGAAGAACAAAUGUGUAAGUAACUAUGCACGUCUUGACGGUACCUAAUCAGAAAGCCACGGCUAACUACGUG